AUUGAACGCUGGCGGAAUGCUUUACACAUGCAAGUCGAACGGCAGCACGGACUUCGGUCUGGUGGCGAGUGGCGAACGGGUGAGUAAUGUAUCGGAACGUGCCCAGUCGUGGGGGAUAACGUAGUGAAAAUUACGCUAAUACCGCAUACGAUCUAUGGAUGAAAGCGGGGGAUCGCAAGACCUCGCGCGAUUGGAGCGGCCGAUAUCAGAUUAGGUAGUUGGUGGGGUAAAGGCCCACCAAGCCAACGAUCUGUAGCUGGUCGGAGAGGACGACCAGCCCAACUGGAAUUGAGGCACGGUCCAGACUCCUACGGGAGGCAGCAGUGGGGAAUUUUGGACAAUGCGCGGAAGCCUGAUCCAGCCAUUCCGAGUGAAGGAUGAAGGCCCUCGGGUUGUAAACUGCUUUUGUACAGAACGAAAAGGUUUCUACUAAUACUAGGAGCUCAUGACGGUACUGUAAGAAUAAGCACCGGCUAACUACGUGCCAGCCGCCGCAGUAA
rnacentral:rRNA from 1 species